UCGUACAAUCGAGGCGUGAAGGCUGUCGCUGACCUUCAAAGGGUCGUGCACGCCGAGCGCUCUCGCACAAUCCAUCUCACCCCCUUGUGCAUCACCGCGUGGGUCCCCCUCUCCGGGAGGGCUCGCGUUUUCACACAAAACUCGAUACAGUCUAGAAUGUUCAUUUUUUGCGGUCACACGCAAUCAAUA
rnacentral:misc_RNA from 1 species